rnacentral:rRNA from 1 species
AUGGGAUUCCGUGACAUUCACUGUUUCAACCUGGCUUUGCUUGCAGAACAGGCAUGGCGUCUCUUUGAUAAUCCUGACUCCUUGUGUGCUACUAUUCUAAGGGCCAAGUACUAUCCUAAUGGUGAUUUGGUGAACACCAAACCAAAUCAUGGUGCUUCAUUCAUCUGGAAAAGCAUUAUGGCAGGCAUCACUACUCUCAAGCGAGGUUAUAUUCGGCGAGUGGGGGAUGGACAUAACAUCAAUAUUUGGGAAGAUGCUUGGAUCCCAAAUUGCGCCACUAGGAGACCCCUAGUGGGAGCAUUUGUUAUCAAAAGCCGUAGAUUUGAUUGA